rnacentral:rRNA from 1 species
UAAGCCUACGGGAGGCAGCAGUGGGGGAUAUUGCACAAUGGGGGGAACCCUGAUGCAGCGACGCCGCGUGGGCGAUGGAGUGCUUCGGCAUGUAAAGCCCUAUCAGCAGGGAAGAAAAUGACGGUACCUGACUAAGAAGCCCCGGCUAAAUACGUGCCAGCAGCCGCGGUAAUACGUAUGGGGCAAGCGUUAUCCGGAUUUACUGGGUGUAAAGGGAGCGUAGGCGGCCUGGCAAGCCUGAUGUGAAAACCACGGGCUCAACCUGUGGCCUGCAUUUGAAACUGUAGUUCUUGAGUGCUGGAGAG